rnacentral:tRNA from 1 species
AGUAAAGUGGCUGAAUUAUAGGCAAUAAAUUGUAAAUUUAUUUAUGAGUAAUACUCCUUUAUUA